CCGCCUUCUUCAAAAAUGGCGACACAAUUGUGGAUUUAUGGAAUAUCGUCAUUGUCUGACGUGGUACUCCAUGGUCCUCCUUUCAUGUCGUCCUGGGAGCGCAAAGAUCUUGGAGAGUGGAACCAUCCAGGCUGUUUUAUGUAAUCCAGUCUCCCCCACCUUGUAAUGAAAGAGACCUCUGGGAUAGGGGUGUGAGGUGAGCUGCACCCAGUCCUGACCUCCCCUCCUGCAUCACAAUCUAGGCCUACUGUGACACCAACACACACACACACACACACACACCCUUUCCCCUUUCAACAUAUCAUCUGUCACUGGCUCUUCCUUGCAUGGCGCAACAAGGCCCCUCCACCCCAUUCCGGCCGUCUGCAUUGCACUUCAAGCGGCCGUGCCGAAGCAAGGUGGUGACAGCUUCUCUCUCAGUGGCGGCAGAGAGAGGCCAUCCAUCCAUCCAUCCAUCCAUCCAUCCCCUGGCACGGCAGAAAACCCCUCCGCUACAAAGCCAUUGUGUCUACCCAAACAGUAACAGCCUUUUCAUCAAAACAUUUGCCCCCAAGUUCAAAUAAAACAUAUCAGCAAGUUGA